UGGGGAAUUUUGGACAAUGGGCGAAAGCCUGAUCCAGCAAUGCCGCGUGUGUGAAGAAGGCCUUCGGGUUGUAAAGCACUUUUGUCCGGAAAGAAAUCCUUGGCUCUAAUACAGUCGGGGGAUGACGGUACCGGAAGAAUAAGCACCGGCUAACUACGUGCCAGCAGCCGCGGUAAUACGUAGGGUGCAAGCGUUAAUCGGAAUUACUGGGCGUAAAGCGUGCGCAGGCGGUUUGCUAAGACCGAUGUGAAAUCCCCGGGCUCAACCUGGGAACUGCAUUGGUGACUGGCAGGCUAGAGUAUGGCAGAGGGGGGUAGAAUUCCACGUGUAGCAGUGAAAUGCGUAGAGAUGUGGAGGAAUACCGAUGGCGAAGGCAGCCCCCUGGGCCAAAUACUGACACUCAUGCACGAAAGCGUGGGGAGCAAACAGGAUUAGAUACCCUGGUAGUCCACGCCCUAAACGAUGUCAACUAGUUGUUGGGGAUUCAUUUCCUUAGUAACGUAGCUAACGCGUGAAGUUGACCGCCUGGGGAGUACGGUCGCAAGAUUAAAACUCAAAGGAAUUGACGGGGUCAUAGCUGUUUUCCU
rnacentral:rRNA from 1 species